rnacentral:sRNA from 1 species
UCUUACCGCUCUUCUUGAGCGUUUCCUCCCAAGACUUCGGGCCGCCUCCUCGCUGGGGCGGCCUCUUUCUGUUUUGUC